UGGGGAAUAUUGCACAAUGGGCGAAAGCCUGAUGCAGCAACGCCGCGUGAGUGAUGAAGGCCUUCGGGUUGUAAAGCUCUGUCUUUUGGGACGAUAAUGACGGUACCAAAGGAGGAAGCCACGGCUAACUACGUGCCGGCAGCCGCGGUAAUACGUAGGUGGCAAGCGUUGUCCGGAUUUACUGGGCGUAAAGGAUGCGUAGGCGGAUUUUUAAGUGAGAUGUGAAAUACCCGGGCUUAACUUGGGUGCUGCAUUUCAAACUGGGAAUCUAGAGUGCGGGAGAGGAGAAUGGAAUUCCUAGUGUAGCGGUGAAAUGCGUAGAGAUUAGGAAGAACACCAGUGGCGAAGGCGAUUCUCUGGACCGUAACUGACGCUGAGGCAUGAAAGCGUGGGUAGCAAACAGGAUUAGAUACCCUGGUAGUCCACGCCGUAAACGAUGAGUACUAGGUGUAGGAGGUAUCGACCCCUUCUGUGCCGCAGUUAACACAAUAAGUACUCCGCCUGGGAAGUACGAUCGCAAGAUU
rnacentral:rRNA from 1 species